rnacentral:rRNA from 1 species
UACGUAGGUGGCAAGCGUUGUCCGGAAUCAUUGGGCGUAAAGAGCGUGUAGGCGCCACUUAAGUCCUGCGUGAAAUCUUGCGGCUCAACCGCAAGCGGUCGUGGGAAACUGGGGUGGCUAGAGUGACGGGAGAGGAGAGUGGAAUUCCGUGGUGUAGCGGUGGAAUGCGCAGAUAGUCAGGAAGAACGACCCCGCUGGCGGAAGGCGGCUCUCUGGAACGCAACUGACGCUGAGACGCGAAAGCGUGGGGAGCAAACAGG